CUCACACCACUACAGCAUCGAGAAGACUAUUGAUGAGUGAGUAGAUAUUCAAGUAAUUUUUUAUAUUGAUCACGCUCAGUGUAAGUUAUUAACAAUCACCUGUACUCUCAUCUCAGUGUCCCUAUACUGUAGACUCAAGACUCAUCUAUCCAGAAGGGAGGUGAUCUAUGCACCGAUCUUAAAUAGAUUGAUCACUGUCCUCCAUGAUGAUCCUA
rnacentral:lncRNA from 1 species